AAACAUGUCUUUUUGAAAAUAAUUUAAAGUUUAAUCUGCCCACUGAUNAAAUUAUUAAAGGGCUGCAGUAUUUUGACUGUACAAAGGUAGCAUAAUCAUUAGUCUCUUAAUUGGUGACUUGUAUGAAAGAUUGGAUGAAAUAUAUACUGUCUCUAUUUAAUUUAUAAAAUUUAAUUUUUUAGUAAAAAAGCUAAAAUGAAUUUAAAAGACGAGAAGACCCUAUAGAGUUUGAUAAUUUAUUUAAUUAUUAUUAAUAUAUAAAUUUUAAAAUUAAAAUUAAAUAAAUUAUUUUGUUGGGGUGAUAGAAAAAUUAAAUUAACUUUUUUUUUAUUUUAUACAUUAAUUUAUGAAUGAAUGAUCCAUUAAUAAUGAUUAAAAGAAAAAAUUACCUUAGGGAUAACAGCGUAAUUUUUUUUUUUAGUUCAAAUAGGAAAAAAAGUUUGCGACCUCGAUGUUGGAUUAAGAUAAAAUUUAAAUGCAAAAGUUUAAAAUUUUGAUCUGUUCGAUCAUUAAAAUCUUA
rnacentral:rRNA from 1 species